GUCACUCUGUGGUGUUCGAGGUGCCCUUCACACGCUCUUUGCCUUUGAAUCAAUCCGGGAGCCAUUCUCCGGGCGCAUCCAGCUAGGCCGUAAAUCGGAAAGCUUUCCCGCGCACGGCGGUUCCCACCUUCACUUAAAAAGGUUAGAGGCCUUUGGGCAUACGGCACAGGCGGAGUGACA
rnacentral:sRNA from 1 species